UGUAAAAUAAUAUCCUUUAGUGUCACUCUAUGUAGGUUAUUGUACAAGAACGUCCUUCAGUGUCACUCUAUGAAGGUUAUUGUACAAGAACAUCCUUCAGUGUCACUCUAUGAAGGUUAUUGUACAAGAACAUCCUUCAGUGUCACUCUAUGAAGGUUAUUGUACAAGAACGUCCUUCAGUGUCACUCUAUGAAGGUUAUU